UACGGAGGGUGCGAGCGUUGUCCGGAAUCAUUGGGCGUAAAGGGCGCGUAGGUGGCCUGGCAAGCGUGCGGUGAAAGCUCGGGGCUCAACCCCGAGUCGGCCGUGCGAACUGCUAUGGCUCGAGCACUGUAGAGGCAGGCGGAAUUCCGGGUGUAGCGGUGGAAUGCGUAGAGAUCCGGAAGAACACCGGUGGCGAAGGCGGCCUGCUGGGCAGUAGCUGACACUGAGGCGCGAAAGCGUGGGGAGCGAACAGG
rnacentral:rRNA from 1 species